AUGGAGGUCGAGAUCAAGCUCCGUCUCCCCGACGCGGCUGCACACCGGCGCCUCUCCUCCUUCCUCGCGCCCCGCCUGCUCCGCACCGACGCCCCAGCGCGGCCCCUCGCCGCCGCCACCGCCGCCCAGCGGGACGUCCGCCUCUACGGCACCGACGACCGCGACCCCUCCUGCGCCGUCCUCAUGCUCAAGCACCGCCCGCGCAUCGACGCCGGCGUCAGCCGCGUUGAGGAGGUCAUGGAGCCCCUCGACCCCGCCCUCGCCCUCACCUGCGUCGACAACCCCGCCCGUCUCGGCGCGGUCGACUCCCCCAUCGUCCGGCUCGUCUCCGACGAGUACGGCGUCGGCGGGGACAAAGCGCCGUUCGUCUGCCUCGGCGGCUUCCGGAACACCCGCGGUGUGUAUGAGCUCGAGGAGGGCGAGGGGCAGGGGCUCGUGCUAGAGCUCGACGAGACACACUUCGAUUUCGGCACAAACUACGAGCUGGAGUGCGAGACCGCGGAGCCCGACCAGGCCAAGGAGGUCCUGGAGCGGCUGCUCACCGUGGCUGGGGUGCCGUAUGAGUACUCCCGGAGCAAUAAGUUCGCGUGCUUCAUGGCCGGGAAGCUGCUUCCGUGA
rnacentral:rRNA from 1 species